GACGAACGCUGGCGGCGUGCUUAACACAUGCAAGUCGAGCGAGAAACCUUCGGGUUUCUAGCGGCGGACGGGUGAGUAACACGUGGGUAACCUGCCUCAAAGAGGGGAAUAGCCUCCCGAAAGGGAGAUUAAUACCGCAUAAUAUUACAGCUUCGCAUGAAGCAGUAAUUAAAGGAGUUAUCCGCUUUGAGAUGGACCCGCGGCGACUUAGCUAGUUGGAGAGGUAACGGCCCACAAAGGCGACGAUGCGUAGCCGACCUGAGAGGGUGAUCCGCCACAUUGGAACUGAGACACGGUCCAGACUCCUACGGGAGGCAGCAGUGGGGAAUAUUGCACAAUGGGCGAAAGCCUGAUGCAGCAACGCCGCGUGAGUGAUGACGGUCUUCGGAUUGUAAAGCUCUGUCUUUUGGGACGAUAAUGACGGUACCAAAGGAGGAAGCCACGGCUAACUACGUGCCAGCAGCCGCCGUAA
rnacentral:rRNA from 1 species